AUACAGGCGCUCUGUGGCAGACAAUCCUCAAGUUUCGUGCUCGGCCAGCUUCUUUCCACUCGCGUUCCAAAUGGCGCUCCCUCACUGCCGUCCGGUCCAUUGGGGGAGAGCCUCCAUCCGUCCAUCCCUUCCUUCCCUGCCCAUCUCCGGAGCCCGUUCUCCGUCUAACCUUCGCGUCACUUGCUCGGCCGCCUUUCCCCAUCCCAAGUUCCGGAGGCCAUACACGACGGUGCUGAUUGUCCCGACGGGCGUGGGCGCGUCCAUCGGCGGUUUCGCAGGCGACGCGCUGCCCGUCGCCCGCACCCUCGCCUCCGUCGCCGACUGCGUCAUCUCCCAUCCCAACGUGUUAAAUGCGGCAAUGCUUUAUUGGCCAAUGCCAAAUGUUCUUUACGUUGAGGGAUAUGCGCUUGACAGGUUUGCAGAAGGAUCUUGGGCUCUACAACCUGUCCACCAAAAUAAGGUAGGUUUGGUACUCGAUGCUGGAAUGGAGGAAGAGCUCCGAAUUCGCCAUUUGCAGGUUGCAGAUGCUACAAGGGCUUCCUUAGGCUUGCCUAUCGUGGAGUAUAUUGUUACAGAUACUCCUUUGAAGGUUGAGACAUGGAUCGAUCCAAAAUGCGGGAAAUCAACAGGAAGGAUCAAACACCCUGAUUCAUUAUUAAGAGCCGUACAAACUUUAGUUAACCAUUCACAAGUCAGUGCAGUUGCAGUUGUGGGGCGCUUUCCAGAUGACGAUAUAGAAGACAUGGAAGACUACAGACAAGGGAAGGGAGUAGAUUCAUUGGCAGGAGUCGAGGCAAUUAUCAGCCAUCUUGUUGCGAAGGAGUUCCAGAUCCCCUGUGCUCAUGCACCUGCAGUAUCACCUAUCCCUCUUAGCACGUCACUGUCUCCGAGAUCCGCUGCUGAAGAGCUUGGGUAUACCUUUCUUCCUUGUGUGCUUGCUGGUUUAAGUUAUGCACCCCAAUAUGUGACCAAGAAGCAUGGAUCCUUGAAUAGUGAUUGUAUAGUCGCUAGUAAUGUUGACAGUGUAAUUCUUCCUGCUGAUGCUUGUGGAGGAGAUGGUGCUCUUGCUUUUGCAAGGAGCAUGACAAACAAUAAGGUGCGAGUAUAAUCCUUUUGCAGCCUCUGAUAAUUGCUGUUGAGGAGAAUGAGACAGUGCUCGACGAUACACCUGAGAAGUUUGGGAUUGAAGUGGUGAAGGUCCUAAAUUACUGGGAAGCUAUAGGGAUUAUUGCAGCUCACAGGGCAGGUGUAGAACUAAAAGCCCUCAGAAGAGAAGGGAUUGAUAAUAUCAGACGCCUUUCAAUGCCGUCCUCUAAUGAUCAUAAAGCUUCUUUGCCCUCUUCAUUGCACGAUCGAGUUUAUUCAUUGUAAUUUUUUUUGACAGUUCAUUCUGAAUAUAUUCAUUUAUCAGCGAAAAAGGAAAUAAUGCGGUUCCAUACAUAUCAAGUUCUGUUGAAAUUAGAUACUCUUGAUGAGUCCAAGCUUUACAAAAGUCAAUAGUGUAAAACAUUUCUGGUUGAAAUGCUUCCCAGAUUUUUGAUAUAAAAGAACUGGAAUAACCUAGAAAUA